UGGGGAAUAUUGCACAAUGGGCGAAAGCCUGAUGCAGCGACGCCGCGUGAGGGAUGACGGCCUUCGGGUUGUAAACCUCUUUCAGCAGGGAAGAAGCGAAAGUGACGGUACCUGCAGAAGAAGCGCCGGCUAACUACGUGCCAGCAGCCGCGGUAAUACGUAGGGCGCAAGCGUUGUCCGGAAUUAUUGGGCGUAAAGAGCUCGUAGGCGGUUAGUCGCGUCUGCUGUGAAAACUCGAGGCUCAACCUCGGGCUUGCAGUGGGUACGGGCUGACUAGAGUGCGGUAGGGGUGACUGGAAUUCCUGGUGUAGCGGUGGAAUGCGCAGAUAUCAGGAGGAACACCGAUGGCGAAGGCAGGUCACUGGGCCGCAACUGACGCUGAGGAGCGAAAGCAUGGGGAGCGAACAGGAUUAGAUACCCUGGUAGUCCAUGCCGUAAACGUUGGGCACUAGGUGUGGGGUCCAUUCCAC
rnacentral:rRNA from 1 species